rnacentral:lncRNA from 1 species
GUUUAAUUUUAUUAUUGAGCAGAAAGGAAUUGGGUAUUUCUUAGUCCCUUUGGAUCUCCCUGGGUUUGCAUCUCUAAUUCUAGACAGUGGGAUGUUGGUACUAGUGAUGGUUACCUCUUUCAGGACUAGUCAUAUGAAUCCCAUGCCGCCUUCUGCAUGUCUUACUCUACUCAUCUGCAUGGAUGGAGGCAAGGAGCGCCAAAGCUUAGAAGAGAAUAGUGGGCUGAAAAUUCCAUGAGGCCCACGUUGCUCCUAGCUGUCAUCUCCUA